AGGCUAUGGUGGAGGUUUUAAGGAAAAUGAUAACAUAUCUUAUAAAGAAAAAGAAGAUUCCGAUGGAGAAUACGAUGAGUUUGGAAGAAAAAAAAAGCAUCUGAGAGGUCAAAUACCAUACGUAAAGAGUGUCAUAGAUUCACCUAACAAAGAAAAAGAGGAUUUUGAAAAAAGAUCUUUCAAAGAUCAAAAAGAUGACAAUGAAGACGAUGAAGAUGAAGAUGAUGAAGAUGAAGAUGGAGGUGUUGAUGUUUCAGCAUAUGAUUUAAGUGAAUCAGAUGAUGAAGAAAUCCCAAAAAG
rnacentral:lncRNA from 1 species